rnacentral:rRNA from 1 species
AUUGAACGCUGGCGGCAGGCCUAACACAUGCAAGUCGAACGCGUGGCGGACGGGUGAGUAAUGUCUGUGAACCUGCCUGAUGGAUGGCGAUAACUACUGGAAACGGUAGCUACUACCGCAUACCAUCAGAUGUGCCCAGCUGGGAUUAGUUAGUUGGUGGGGUAACGGCUCACCAAGGCGCCGAUCCCUAGCUGGUCUGAGAGGAUGACCAGCCACACUGGAACUGAGAAACGGUCCAGACUCCUACGGGAGGCAGCAGUGGGGAAUAUUGCACAAUGGGCGCAAGCCUGAUGCAGCCAUGCCGCGUGUAUGAAGAAGGCCUUCGGGUUGUAAAGUACUUUAAGCGGGGAGGCGUUACCCGCAGAAGAAGCACCGGCUAACUCCGUGCCAGCAGCCGCGGUAAUAC